rnacentral:rRNA from 1 species
AUGAGCCCCCGCCGCCGUCCCCCGCUGCUCCUCCUCGCCGCCGUCGCCGUCGCCUGCGCCUGCGCCGCCGCCCGCCCCUGCGCGGCCCUCGUCCGCCUCGGUGCCGCCUCCUUCCUCGACGCCCCCGCGCGCUUCGGGCCCCGGGUGACCGGCGACGGGAUAUGCGGGUCGCUGCGCGCCGCGGAGCCCGCCGACGCGUGCGCGCCCGUCCGGGGCGCCCCCGGCGGGAGCGGCGGGAUGGCGUUCGUGCUCAUCGCGCGCGGGAACUGCAGCUUCGAGGGCAAGGUGCGGGCGGCGCAGCGGGCCGGCUUCGACGCCGCGCUCGUCCACGACGACGAGGACAAGGCCAGCCUCUACUCCAGAGAUGCGCACUUGGUGAAUGGAUUUGGCUUCCGCUGCCUGCCAAGUUAUGAUUCAAAGCACACAGUUGGACUCGGCGUGGUUGGCGAUCCUGAGGGCAUACACAUACCUGCGGUAUUCGUAUCCAAAAUGGCUGGGGAAACCUUGAAGAAGUUUGCCAGAGGUGAAGAUGGGGAAUGCUGUAUAAACUCGUCGAUGGAUGAGACUGCAGGGACAGUGUUGGUGAUGUCGUUCGUAUCACUUGUUGUCAUCAUAUCAGUUGUAGCUUCAUUUCUUUUCGCUCGGAACUGCCGACUUUUACGCAAUGGAGUUGAUAAUCGCCCACCUUACAUCAAGAAGCAUGUGGUGGAAAAGCUUCCUUCUGUGGUAUAUAAAGCUCCCUGCUCAAGUGGCAACAAUUGUGAAGAAGCCUGUGCCAUUUGUUUAGAAGACUAUGAUAAUGGUGACAUGCUUAGACUUCUCCCAUGCAAACAUGAGUUUCAUGUGGAGUGUAUUGAUCCCUGGCUGACAAAGUGGGGCACAUUUUGCCCGGUAUGCAAACUUGAGGUACUCACAGGUGGAUAA